AGAGCUUUUCCUUCUCCCGACCUUGUGCAUGGCGCCUCUCCGAACCUCCUCGAUCAUCCGAACUUAUCCGAUAGCGAACUUCUGCAUUCAUCCAUCGGGCCACCCUGAAGGCCCUCUGGGACUCACUAUCUGCCAACCUUCUAUAGCAACCGACCCCCUGAGUAUCUACCCCGAACUUCUCUCGGGCUUCGCCAGCAUUCGAGCUUCCCCGACAAUGUGAUUUCUACGAUAACUAGACUCCACCAGAGUUUCUACGCGGUCGACCACCCCCCGGAUCCUAAUCGAGCUCCCACGAGAGUCGAACUUCUACUAUAAGCGAUCUACUCUGAGCUCCUACCGC
rnacentral:lncRNA from 1 species